rnacentral:rRNA from 2 species
GCUCUUAUGAAGUUAGCGGCGGACGGGUGAGUAACACGUGGGUAACCUGCCCAUAAGACUGGGAUAACUCCGGGAAACCGGGGCUAAUACCGGAUAAUAUUUUGAACUGCAUGGUUCGAAAUUGAAAGGCGGCUUCGGCUGUCACUUAUGGAUGGACCCGCGUCGCAUUAGCUAGUUGGUGAGGUAACGGCUCACCAAGGCAACGAUGCGUAGCCGACCUGAGAGGGUGAUCGGCCACACUGGGACUGAGACACGGCCCAGACUCCUACGGGAGGCAGCAGUAGGGAAUCUUCCGCAAUGGACGAAAGUCUGACGGAGCAACGCCGCGUGAGUGAUGAAGGCUUUCGGGUCGUAAAACUCUGUUGUUAGGGAAGAACAAGUGCUAGUUGAAUAAGCUGGCACCUUGACGGUACCUAACCAGAAAGCCACGGCUAACUACGUGCCAGCAGCCGCGGUAAUACGUAGGUGGCAAGCGUUAUCCGGAAUUAUUGGGCGUAAAGCGCGCGCAGGUGGUUUCUUAAGUCUGAUGUGAAAGCCCACGGCUCAACCGUGGAGGGUCAUUGGAAACUGGGAGACUUGAGUGCAGAAGAGGAAAGUGGAAUUCCAUGUGUAGCGGUGAAAUGCGUAGAGAUAUAGAGGAACACCAGUGGCGAAGGCGACUUUCUGGUCUGUAACUGACACUGAUGACACUAAAGCGUCGGGAGCAAACAGGAUUAGAUCCCUGGAUACCACGCCAGUAACACGAAGGCUCGAGUGCUAAGUGUUAGAGGGUUUCCGCCCUUUAGUGCUGAAGUAACGCAUUAAGCACUCAGCCUGGGGAGUAC